AGGUUAAAGCAUUUCCUCUACAGCCAGGCAAGAUGUGAUAGAUCUCUGUGUCCUUGCUCCAGCCCACCAUCAACCUUCUCUACAAUUACCUCAGUGGAACAAUUCCUUUCCAUUUCUGUGGGACAUCAGAGCCUACCCAGCAAGUGUUGGUGAGUUGCAGUCCUCGUGGAAAUAAUAACACUCCUUAUGUGCUUGCUCAUAAAAUAUGAACUGAAGGUGAUCACUGAGAUUGAGACCUGCUGUAAAACACCAGAAUGGCAGAUAAAAAUGAUAUACUUGGAAACAAACAGCAAAACAAAUAUAGCAGGCUUAUAGAAAGCAGAGAUGACAACCAAAACUUCUGUAAUGUGUUAUAGUAUGCUGUCAAAAUCUAGAGCAAUACACAGAGGAAAUUGCUUGAUCAACAGAAUCUGCUGGCGAUCUGAAAAACAGGUAACUUCUAAAUGAUGGAUUUAAGGGUCAUUUGCUGAUGCCUGCUGAGGGGCCUGUGCCUGGUGAAAGUUUACAGAGCAUCUUGUACAUCCUACUCCCCCAGAAAUACUGAAUGGAACCUGCUUGUAGGAACCCCAAGAGGUAAAUGCCAAUUAAUGCAUCUGAAGUUCUGUCAGACACUAUGAAAAAAAAAGUCAGUGUAAGUCAUUUUGUGGGUUUUGUUGUUGGUGGUGGUUCAUUGGGUUGUUUUGCUGUUUCAUCUAAUGUAGUGUUAAAACCAGAAAUGUCAAAUUA